rnacentral:tRNA from 1 species
UCCCUGGUAGCUCAGUUGGUAAAGAAUCUGCCUGCAAUGCAGGAGACCCUGGUUUGAUUCCUGGUCCAGAAA